rnacentral:rRNA from 1 species
GAUGAACGCUAGCGGCAGGCCUAACACAUGCAAGUCGAGGGAGAAGCCCUUCGGGGCAGAAACCGCCGCACGGGUGCGUAACGCGUAUGCAACCUACCUUUCACAGGGGGAUAGCCCGAAGAAAUUUGGAUUAAUACCCCAUAAUAUUAUUGGAUGGCAUCAUUUGAUAAUUAAAAUUACGAUGGUGAAAGAUGGGCAUGCGUCCUAUUAGCUAGUUGGAGUGGUAACGGCACCCCAAGGCUACGAUAGGUAGGGGUCCUGAGAGGGAGAUCCCCCACACUGGUACUGAGACAGGGACCAGACUCCUACGGGAGGCAGCAGUGAGGAAUAUUGGUCAAUGGUCGGAAGACUGAACCAGCCAUGCCGCGUGCAGGAAGAAUGCCUUAUGGGUUGUAAACUGCUUUUAUAUGGGAAGAAUAAGGAGUACGUGUACUUUGAUGACGGUACCAUAUGAAUAAAGCAU